AGUGAACGCUGGCGGUAGGCCUAACACAUGCAAGUCGAACGGCAGCACAGGAGAGCUUGCUCUCUGGGUGGCGAGUGGCGGACGGGUGAGGAAUACAUCGGAAUCUACCUUUUCGUGGGGAUAACGUAGGGAAACUUACGCUAAUACCGCAUACGACCUACGGGUGAAAGUGGGGGACCGCAAGGCCUCACGCGAUUAGAUGAGCCGAUGUCCGAUUAGCUAGUUGGCGGGGUAAUGGCCCACCAAGGCGACGAUCGGUAGCUGGUCUGAGAGGAUGAUCAGCCACACUGGAACUGAGACACGGUCCAGACUCCUACGGGAGGCAGCAGUGGGGAAUAUUGGACAAUGGGCGCAAGCCUGAUCCAGCCAUACCGCGUGGGUGAAGAAGGCCUUCGGGUUGUAAAGCCCUUUUGUUGGGAAAGAAAUCCUGUCGAUUAAUACUCGGUGGGGAUGACGGUACCCAAAGAAUAAGCACCGGCUAACUUCGUG
rnacentral:rRNA from 1 species